rnacentral:tRNA from 1 species
AGUAAAGUAAGCUAAAUAAGCUUUCGGGCCCAUACCCCGACAAUGUUGGUGAAACCCCCACCUUUACUA